GAGCGGUAGAGAGAAGCUUGCUUCUCUUGAGAGCGGCGGACGGGUGAGUAAUGCCUAGGAAUCUGCCUGGUAGUGGGGGAUAACGUUCGGAAACGGACGCUAAUACCGCAUACGUCCUACGGGAGAAAGCAGGGGACCUUCGGGCCUUGCGCUAUCAGAUGAGCCUAGGUCGGAUUAGCUAGUUGGUGGGGUAAUGGCUCACCAAGGCGACGAUCCGUAACUGGUCUGAGAGGAUGAUCAGUCACACUGGAACUGAGACACGGUCCAGACUCCUACGGGAGGCAGCAGUGGGGAAUAUUGGACAAUGGGCGAAAGCCUGAUCCAGCCAUGCCGCGUGUGUGAAGAAGGUCUUCGGAUUGUAAAGCACUUUAAGUUGGGAGGAAGGGUUGUAGAUUAAUACUCUGCAAUUUUGACGUUACUGACAGAAUAAGCACCGGCUAACUCUGUG
rnacentral:rRNA from 1 species